UGCGCAGGCGGUUUUGUAAGACAGUGGUGAAAUCCCCGGGCUCAACCUGGGAACUGCCAUUGUGACUGCAAGGCUAGAGUACGGCAGAGGGGGAUGGAAUUCCGCGUGUAGCAGUGAAAUGCGUAGAUAUGCGGAGGAACACCGAUGGCGAAGGCAAUCCCCUGGGCCUGUACUGACGCUCAUGCACGAAAGCGUGGGGAGCAAACA
rnacentral:rRNA from 1 species